AUGGAGCUGAACAAUACCGUCAAAGAAAGCUCUGGCCAUCGAGAUAGCAGUGGACAGAUGUGCCAAUGGUAUGAAGUGUGCAUAUUUAGAGAAGAGAUCGACAACAGAAAGGAUCACUGUCUUGCCAUGGACACAAGGAAGGGCCUCAAUAAAAUCCAUUUGAGAUAUCCAACCGGACCGUUGAGGGCACCAUCAGAGGCUGAAGCAGACCAGCAGGGUAAAGAGUCUCGGUCUUGUUCCAUUGACAAAUCUUGCAGGAACGUACCAAUUCUUGCACCAAUGCACACUCACUUGGUAUGUGGAAUGUGUCAAUCAAGCGAUGAAGUGUCUUCUGAAUCAUGGGCUGCAUCCUGCAUGGGCCUGUUUUAG
rnacentral:rRNA from 1 species